UUCCAACAAUUCGAUUUGUGUUUGCUUCAAGAUCAUCUUUCACGAAAAUUCUAGCCAAGGCAAAAUCUGAUAUUUUAGGUUUCAAAUCUUCAUCCAACAAAAUAUUACUAACUUUUAAGUCUUGAUGAAUAAUUGUUAAUCUAGAAUAUUCUUGGAGAUAGAGAAGCCCCUGAAUAAUUCCUUGAAUGAUAUGAAUACGUUUUUUUCCAAUCCAAAAUAAACCUUCUGAUGGGAUCUGCAUCAAAUGUAAAUUUAGUUGGACGGUCAGUACCAUUAGCAUUUGGAGACGAGAAAUGCAAAUUGAGGCACAAAAAUUAGAAAUUAAGCAGUUAAGCACAUACAAAAAAGGAAAUAGUCUAAGCUUCGUUUUGGUAUAUACUCAUAGAUGAGCAUAUAUUCUUGUGUGUCAAUGCAAAAACCCAAAACUCUGAUCAAAUUUACGUGUUGAAGCUUUGCAGUAAGCAUAACCUCAUUCUUGAACUCCUCAAAUCCUUAUGUGGAUGUCUUCGAUAGUUUCUUCACUGCUAUUAUUUGUCCAUCAGAUAAUACACCCUGCAAGCACCCCCCAAAAUAUAUGUUUUUUUAAAAAUCAGUGUGUUCACACAUGUUGAAAAGUCAUGCACGUGACAUUGAAAUUCAAAAAUGAAUGCAAAAUUUCAAAUGGCUACCAAACAUUUGAAGAAAAAAUGGAAAGUUGGCAAAUUUGUCAAAUUUGCCAAAUGGACACCAUUGACUAUUGGCUUAGGUUAUGUGGAAUAGUAAAAGGGUUGGUGCAAUAGUGCCAUUAUUUUCCCUAUAAAUAGAUGGCACUUCUUCCAUUCUAAAUCAUCCCAAAAUUGUUAAGCUUAUAAGUUUCUAAGCUUUUGAGAGAAGUGAGAGAAGUGUGUCUGAGGAAUUUAUCUUUCCUGCAGAGUGUGAGAGUACUGGGUAUAUUUGGGUUUCUGGGAAGUGAGAUUCGUUACUCAAAUAUUGUAUUCUAUUAAUUGUUAAAUAAACAAUUAUUCUUUCUUGCCUUCGUGGAUGUAGGUUUAAUUACCAAACCACGUAAAUUCUUGUGUCCUUUAUUUUUCAGUAAUUAUUUGGUGCGCUUGAUUCCGCAUUCCGCGCACAACAAGUGGUAUCAGAGCCGACGGUUCGUACUUGGGGGGAUACGGUACUAUUCACGUAUACGGUACUGUUCACGUAUACGGUAAUGUUCAUGUAUACGGUACUAUUCACGAAUACGUUGGAGACGGCCAUUUGUACUUGGGAGACAGUCUAUUGUAAGUAGUGUGUAUUUUUGCAUGUCUAGGAAAGUUCUGUCAAAAAAGGCGAUAAGAGUCUAAGGAUUCUGGUUUUUAAUUGGGACCGAAUUCCCGUCCAGUUUUCUGGGAACUUUCCUGGUGCAUUUAUUCACGCGAAAUUAACAUCAUAGAGGCUGUUUUUCAAGUGGAAAUAGUUCGUUGAGAAAAAUCGUAGAAGGUGAAACUUCCAGAAUUGGGGAGAGAUCUACCGAGACUAUUUCAGGAGACAUUUCAGGUGGGAGGCGAGAUUUGUCAAAUCGCUAUUCAGCACCUGUUAUAGGAGGCCAGAAGAUCGAUGUUGAAAAGUUUGAUGGGAAAAUCAACUUCGGCAUGUGGAGGCGCGAAGUUAUGGAUGCCCUUAUUCAAAUCGAUCUCGAUGUUGUCCUGAAAAAUAAAAGACACUUGUAUGAUGAAGAAAUUUGGGAUCGUAUGAACGAGAAAGCCUGUGGUCAGAUCAGAUCUUGUUUGACCAAGGAGGUGAAAUACUUGGUGAAAGAUGAGGAGUGUGCAGUGACUUUGUGGCGUACAUUGGAAGAGAAGUACCUGGUGAAAAGUCCUGAAAAUCGUCUUCAUGCAAUGAGCCAAGUAUAUGGCUUUCGAAUGAAGUCUGGGGUGUCAAUGCACGAUCAUGUUUCAAGAUUUAAAAAGUUACUUGCUGAUUUGAAGAAUCUUGAUGAAGAUAUUAAAGAUGAAGUCAAUGCUAUGAUUCUGUUACACUCACUACCAGAGGAAUAUAGCCAUUUUGUGACUACUUUGAUAUAUGGGAAGAGUGUGAUCGUCUUUAAAGAUGUUUGCACAGCAUUGACUAGUUUGGAGAUUCGGAAUAAUGAUAAAAAUUCUGAACGAGCAUCGUCUGAAGCUUUGGUGAGCAGAGAUUGGGCGAUGGAGAAAAAGAUAAAUGGUGGUGGAAAGAAUUCUCGAUCCAAAUCGAGAAGCAGAAAUAUAGCUCGAGAUGAGUGUGCCUUUUGUCAUGAAAAGGGCCAUUGGAGGAAAGAUUGUCCAAAGGCUCAAAAGAGAGAUGGGAAAAAACCAGCAUCAGCAAACAUGGCACGGAAAGAUGAGGACUCUGAUUAUUCACUAAGUAUCACUCCUGCAGCAUAUGUGGCUAGUUCGAGUGAGUGGAUACUUGAUACUGGAGCAACCUAUCAUUUGUGUCAUAUUAAGGAAUGGUUUACGGAUUUUCGUAAUCUGGAAUCCGGUGCAGUUAUGAUGGGGAAUAAUCAACCUUGUCGCACAAUGGGGAUAGGAACAAUUCGGCUCAAAAUGUUUGAUGGAAUGGUCAGAGAACUCAAAGAGGUUAGAUUUGUUCCAGAGAUAAAGAAAAAUCUAAUUUCUGUGGGUGCUUUGGAAGCUAAAGGUUACAAAGUUACCAUUGAAGAUGGCACAAUGAAGUUUACACAUGGGGCUAUGGUGAUUCUGCAAGGGGUUCGGCGUCACAAUCUGUACUAUUUGAAAGGAGGUACAACUGAUGAAGCAAAUGUUGUUGAGGCGCACAGUGACACCACCAAGCUAUGGCAUGUACGACUGGGACAUGCAGGAGAGAAGUCUUUGCAAACUCUGAUGAGGCAUGGACUCUUAAAAGGUAUCAAAACCUGUAAAUUAAAUUUCUGUGAGCAUUGUGUAGUAGGCAAAAAAACAAGGGUCAAGUUUGGUACAGCUAAUCACGAUACUCGUGAGAUCCUUGAAUAUGUUCAUAGUGAUGUAUGGGGACCAACCAAGACUGCAUCAAUUGGUGGAAGCCAUUAUUUUGUUAUAUUUGUUGAUGAUUUCUCUAGACGUGUAUGGGUGUACACCAUGCGAGCAAAGGAUGAGGUUCUAGAGAUUUUCGUGAAGUGGAAGAAAUUGGUGGAGACUCAAACUGGCAGAAAGAUCAAAGUAUUACGAUCUGAUAAUGGGGGUGAAUAUACUUCUGAUCCAUUCUUGCAAGUAUGCCAGAACGAGGGUAUUAAAAGACAUUUCACAGUGAGACAUACUCCGCAACAGAACGGUGUGGCUGAGCGUAUGAAUCGUACUUUACUGGAGAAGGUACGAUGUAUGUUAUCUAAUGCUGGUUUAGAUAAAAAGUUUUGGCCUGAAACUGUGAGCUACGCAAGUCACUUGGUAAAUCGGUUGCCUUCUGCUGCAAUUGGAGGUAAAACUCCUAUGGAAAUGUGGUUUGGAAAGCAUGCACAAGACUAUGAUUCCCUUCGUGUAUUCGGGUGUCCAGCUUAUUAUCAUGUCAAAGAUGGUAAACUGGAUCCUCGUGCUAGAAAAUCUAUCUUUGUGGGAUUCAAAGGUAGAGUAAAGUGCUUCAAGCUUUGGGAUCUCGAAGACAAAAAGUUUGUGUGUAGCAGAGAUGUCACAUUUGAUGAAGCUUCAAUGAUAAAAGCUUCAAGUUCUCAGCAGGUGGAGAACAAGACCACAUAUGUAUUGCAGCGGGUGGAGUUUGAUGCAACUCCAUAUGUACCAGUUAGUUCUACAUCAAAGAAUGGUUCAACUAUGGAGGUGACACCUAAAGUUGAAGAAGAGGUUGUUUCUUCUGAUGUCCCACAAAAUGAAGAAACAAUUGAUGAUGUAGAUGAUGAUGAUUUUAUAGCAACAAGGAGGCCAAGAAGAGAGAUAAAGAAACACGGAUGGCUUACUAAAGAUAUGGUGGUAGCCUAUGCACUUUCAGUUAUUGAUGAUGACAUCCCCAAUACUUUCGGUGAAGCAUUACGCAGUAAUGAAAGUGAUCAGUGGAAGCUAGCCAUGGAGGAAGAGAUGAAAUCUCUCCAUCAAAACCAGACUUGGGAACUUGUAAAGUUACCAAAGGGGAAAAGGGCUAUUGGCAAUAAAUGGGUCUACACCAAAAAGCAAGGAUCUCCGAAUCAAACAACUCCUCGAUACAAGGCAAGGCUCGUGGCAAAAGGUUUUGCUCAAAAGGAAGGUAUUGACUACAAUGAAGUUUUGUCUCCAGUUGUAAAACAUACUUCCAUUCGUAUCCUACUUGCCUUAGUUGCAGAAUAUGAAUUAGAGUUGGCUCAGUUGGAUGUUAAGACGGCGUUCUUACAUGGAGAUUUGGAGGAGGAAAUCUACAUGAUUCAGCCUUGUGGUUUUAGAGUUGCUGGAAAGGAGAAUCAUGUGUGUAGGUUGAUUAAAUCUUUGUACGGACUGAAGCAAUCGCCAAGGCAGUGGUAUAAAAGAUUUGAUCAAUUUAUACAAGGGCAGAAAUUCACCAGAAGUGAACACGAUCAUUGUGUUUACUUUAGAAGACUACCAGAUAGAGCUUUCAUCUAUUUGCUACUCUAUGUCGACGAUAUGCUUAUAGCUUCGAAGAAUAGAGAUGAGAUCGAAAGAUUAAAGAAGCAGCUGGCUUCUGAGUUCGAGAUGAAAGACUUGGGUGAUGCACAGAGAAUACUUGGGAUGGAGAUUUGUAGAGACAAGAAGAAUGGGAGCGUAUGGUUGACUCAAAAGUCUUAUUUGAAGAAAGUGCUAGAAAGAUUCGGUAUGGAUGACAAAACUAAACCGGUAUGUACACCUCUAGCUCCUCAUUUCAAAUUAGGCUCUUCUUCAUGUCCUAAAUCUCAAGAGGAGCGCGAUUACAUGGCUCGUGUUCCAUAUGCUAGUGCUGUGGGUAGUCUUAUGUAUGCUAUGGUAUGUACAAGGCCCGAUAUAUCUCAAGCAGUAAGCAUGGUUAGUAGAUACAUGCACGAUCCGGGUAAAAGUCACUGGCUUGCAGUAAAGUGGAUUCUUCGAUAUCUGUAUGGGACAGUUGAUGUUGGGUUAUUGUUCAAGAAGGAUUGUGGUCAACAAUGUGUUGGCUAUUGUGAUUCUGAUUUCGCUGGAGACCUUGACAAGCGAAGAUCAACAACGGGCUACGUAUUCACAUUGGGUGGAGGUCCAGUUAGCUGGAGGUCAAUUUUGCAAUCGACAAUUGCUCUGUCCACUACGGAAGCAGAGUACAUGGCAACAACUGAAGCUGUAAAGGAAGCUAUCUGGUUGAAAGGCUUGUUAGGUGAUUUGGGAGUAAUCCAGGAGAACAUUACGGUCUUCUGUGAUAAUCAAAGUGCGAUAUUCCUUGCGAAGAAUCAAACAUAUCACGCUCGGACAAAGCACAUAGAUGUGAAAUAUCAUUAUGUGAGAGAGAUUAUCGAGAGCGAUGUUGUGUUGUUGAGAAAGAUCGAUACCAAAGAUAAUCCAUCAGAUAUGUUGACGAAGGUAGUUUCUGGAGUUAAGUAUCAACAUUUCUUGAAAUUAAUUCAAAUCCUUCGAUUGUGUUAAAGAUAUGUCCUUCGGGAAUUUUGAACUACGGUUGGCUUGAUCCCAAAUUUUGGGUACGUAGGCAGUCGAAACGACACAGCCAUUCUGGAUCCUUAUUGAAGGAUCACUUUGGGGAUGAGGGUUCGUUGGUAGUCGGCUCAGAUUUGGACAAAUUUUCGCCGAGGUGGAGAAUUGUUGAAAAGUCAUGCACGUGACAUUGAAAUUCAAAAAUGAAUGCAAAAUUUCAAAUGGCUACCAAACAUUUGAAGAAAAAAUGGAAAGUUGGCAAAUUUGUCAAAUUUGCCAAAUGGACACCAUUGACUAUUGGCUUAGGUUAUGUGGAAUAGUAAAAGGGUUGGUGCAAUAGUGCCAUUAUUUUCCCUAUAAAUAGAUGGCACUUCUUCCAUUCUAAAUCAUCCCAAAAUUGUUAAGCUUAUAAGUUUCUAAGCUUUUGAGAGAAGUGAGAGAAGUGUCUGAGGAAUUUAUCUUUCCUGCAGAGUGUGAGAGUACUGGGUAUAUUUGGGUUUCUGGGAAGUGAGAUUCGUUACUCAAAUAUUGUAUUCUAUUAAUUGUUAAAUAAACAAUUAUUCUUUCUUGCCUUCGUGGAUGUAGGUUUAAUUACCGAACCACGUAAAUUCUUGUGUCCUUUAUUUUUCAGUAAUUAUUUGGUGCGCUUGAUUCCGCAUUCCGCGCACAACAACACACACACACGUAGCUUGCACUAAUUAAUUAAUAAGCUGAGAGAUAACCAAGCUACCGAUACAUAACCUUGUAAACAGGACCAUAUCCACCCUCCCCGAGCUUAUUUUCAAUUAAAAAUCUAUCCGUGGCCACCUCAAUAUCAGCCAAGCUAUAUUCUCUCAGAUCAGGAUCAUUGCUGUUAAAAUCUCCAGCAUCCGCUUGUCUAUUUUCGCUGUCCUUUGAUGCUUUGGCUGAGUCAAUUACGGUCCAAUUAAUAUCAACCAAGAGAAAGAAAGCUAAUUUAAGUGAAUCGCCCACUUCUUCAUCUGUGUUAAAUGGAAUAGAAGUAAAAAUAUUCCUAAUCCCGUGUAGAAGAAGUUACCUUUUAAUUUGAGGUUUUUCAUCCAGCAGUAGUAAUACAGCAAAAAGCCUAUUAGAAGAAUACAAGCUGCAGUUAUAGGCAAAACAAUUGCCCAUAAUAGCCGCUUAUUUUGUCGAUUCCUUUCAUCCUCUUCAGCUGAAAAGUCAAAUCACUUUGUGUUAUUUAACCACUGAUGGUCAAAUAAAGAUCUUAAUUGAAGUCAUUAUGCAGAGAACUGAUCGAAUGGGUAGCAGGCAGUGAGUGAGGCUUUGCAUUUGCUUACCUGCAGCUUGAGAAAGCAUCCAAUAAUGAUCACUGGAAACUUGCCACACAUAGUAACCACGUAGCUUCUUUUCCUUGGCAUAUGCAACCUUCACUCUAACAGCCUCGACAUCAUCAAAACCAAACCAAAUCUUCCCAAUCGAGCAGUAAUUCACGACAUAAGUUGAAUUGUACAUUACUUGAACAUUAGGACGAUAGUUCUUGAUGUGAUUCUUGACUUCCUUAUAAGUCACAAGGCCAUCAUCAUGCAAAGCUGGUCCUGUUGUUGCUGCGCCAAUGCCAUUGUCCUCAGGUUUCACAAGCGUCCAUGCAUAGCCAUAAAAAGGCAAACAUAAAACCAAUUUAUCAGCCGAUAACCCUUCCUCAAUCCAUUCCGUGAUUCCAUAUUCAGUAUUAGAGACACUAUUUGGAUCAUACAGAGCCGCAUGAGCACCAGUAAAAUUUUUCCGCGUAGGGCUUGAGUAUUCGGUAGUGAUAACAUGAACCCAAUUCAAGUACUGUCUUAUCGAGUCGACUGGAUAAGCUGCUGCUGUUGAGAGUGGUGAAUAUGCGACCUUUGCUGUCAAAAUCAACUGUGAUUGGCUCGAGUUAUUUCUUGCUUCUAAAGCAACGGCAGCUCGCCAUUCUUUUAAAGAGAAUGCCAAUAUUGUACUUAUCCCAGUUUGUGUUUGCCUGAUUCCAAGACAGAUCUAAGCCUUGAAAGCCAUAAAGCCUUGCUAUUUUUAUUGAGGAGUCAAUAAAGUAUUUCCUGAAAGAAGGAUUGCCCGCCAUGGAAGAAUAACUUGAAUAGUUUGGAUUAUUGCCUCCUCCGAUGGAAAGAAGAGUAGUGAUUGAUGGGUUCUUUAUUUUGACAGUGUCUGUGAAGUUGGAGAAUUGUUUUUCAUCAGAAGGUGAUAAAGAAAGCUCAUAGGAAGUUGAGUUGACAUCGGCAAAACCACACAUAAGGUGAGUGAAAAGAGCAGAAUUUACAUCUGAAACGGGGAACCCACCGUCUGAAUCCCAGUAACCAGCUCUGAUUAAAGUUUGUGCCCUUGCAGGAAGCGAUUCUGAAAAUAUAAAAAUGUAGAGUACAAGAAUGAUAAUUUUGGAUGCCAUUGUGGGAACCUUGCUGCUUUGAGGCAAACCUAGUAUGUGAUUACAUAUAUAUGUACAGACACAAAAUGUAAUGGAGAAAAUAUCCGACACCGAUUGAGAUUUGUUAUUGGACUAUAAUACAAACUUGAGGCAACUUUCAACUCAUGAGCUUAGCUCAUAAGUCUUUAUACGGUAUCAAAGUCAAGUUUCGAAAGAGUGACUCUAUACUACCUUUCAAUUUAACAAAGAGAAAGAAAAGAGAUCAGCCUACACGUGGUAGGAAGAUAGAAAAAGUAUAUCACAUUGGCUAAGAUUAAUUACUAGGUUGAUAAUAUAAGCUCAAAACAACAUUUAACUGUUGCGGAAAUGUGGGUUGAGCAAUUACUAAUACUGCAACUUCUGAAGAAAUAUAAAUGUGGUGUUAAACAAAUGCAAAGAAAAUAUAACACAAUGAUUUACGUGGUUCGGCGUAAUGCUUACAUCCACAGGCAAAAACUAAAAGAUAAUUUUACUAACAAUGAAAAUUUACAAAAGUGAGAAAAAUUCACAAAACCCACAACCCCAAUACACCCAAAUGAAACCUAACUAGAACACUCAAAUGGAAGCUCUCGUAAAUUCUCUCAAAGAACUCACUUGCAAUUGCUCUCUCCAUUUCUUUCAAAUUGGGAUGAUUUACAAAUGCAUUUUGCUUCUCUAUUUAUAGGCAAAGCAUGCUCACCCACCACACGGCUUCAAUUUGACUUUAAUUGGCUAAAUUGACAAAUUUGGCAAUUGGUGCCAAAUUUGUCAUGCAAUGCAUGCUAGCUGUUCCAUGCCAUUUAUUCAAUUUGCAUAUUUUCAAAACCUAACUUUGCUUUUUUGAAAUUGGUAAGCCGACCAUUUGACUUUUCAACAUCAACUCCAUAACAAGCUGUAAUUUAAUAAAGUUAGGUCAACUCGAUAUUUUAUAUAGUACGUCAUGAGUGAGGAGGAGUUUAAGCUACAAAUCGCAGUCAUGAGUGAGGACAAAUUUGAUUCUCUCAAGAUUUUGCGUUUUGUACACGUUGAUCAUGGACUGAAUCAAAAUAGAAAAUAUUUUCACAGGAGUUUGCCUUCAAAUUGCACGAAUGGAACCAUAGAGGAAUACAUCGAAAAGUUUGUCUUCUUGCCAUGAUGUUAAGUGAGAAGAUUGAAGUUCUUAAAUUAAGCUAUGACGUUUUACCUCCACUUAGCUUGACUUCUGAAGCUGAAGACUCAUCCUUUUGCAUUGACUUUGUUGGUAUUUAAAUGACCUCGGAGUCUUGGACGUGUUUCUGAAGCAAUGUCAUGGUCUAUGAGUAGAUUUUAUUUUUUGGGUAAGAAAGGGAAAGUCUGUCGUUAGGAAAACAUCCUGACAACGAGAUGGUGAGAGGGGAUGAAAAAGAAAUUAUACACUUAGUUACUUCCUCAUGAUAAGAUUCAGUGGUAUUGUAAUUUUAAUAAAAAAUUAAGACCAUUUUGCCUUUUUCCUUGUGUAAUUUAAUUUUCAGUCAAGACCACCCUCCCAUUUUAGUACAGGGAAAUUAUCAUUUGUAUAUUCUUAGUUUACUCCAUUAUCAAAAAUAUUACAACACUUUGAGGGUGUAUCAAUCGUCUACCCUAAGUUGACAAAAUGUAUUAGCUGACCACCAAACCGUUAGUUGCCGUUUAAGUAUGAUGAUAUCAGAAGGGUAAUUUGGUUUUUUCAUAUGAUACAAGUGAUAAUUUAAGGGUAUACAAGUGAUAAAAAGAGAAUUUAAGGGUAUACAAGUGAUAAUUUUCAAGGGUAAAAUCGUCAAUUCACUGUAAUUCCGUUAACUUUCAAACGGCAACUAACGGUUUGGUGGUCGGCUGAUACAUUUUGUCAACUAAGGGUGGACGAUUGAUACACCCUCAAAGUGUUGUAGUAGUUUUGAUAACAGAGCAAAUAUAAGGUAUACGAAUGAUAAUUUUCCUUUAGUAUAAAAGCCUAUACAAAUGUACGUUUUACUCAAUGUUUACAUAGAAACAAAUGGCGCGAAGACGAUUUGUCAAUCUAGUACCACUCUCGUAUACUUGGUAAGAUUUGGCUUCACCAAAUUGUAGCCUAUAUUUUACUUUAAUGAGAAAAUCAAAUAAUAUAUGUUUGAACAAAUAAUUUUCUUUGCUCUAUAUACUUUCUUAAAAUGUAUGGAGUGGGUAAAGUAUAAAUUGAUCUCUUAGCCCGUUGACUCCUCCAAAAUUCAAACUCAAUUUAAUGGUAAGUUAAAUAAUGCUACUUGAAAAUCAUUCCACCAAAUAUCAUAAAAACUAUAAUUAAGUUUCACUGAUUAUUGAAUUAUAGAAUGUGCUAUCAUUUCCUAGCUAGAAUUUGUUUAAUUCUAUUAAUUUACAAUCAUUUUUAUUUUAUUUAAUUAAUUAAAGUGAAUUUAUUAUGUAUAAGUUCUAUAUAUGUAAAAUUUUAAAAUCUAAUGUUGAAUUGAAUUGUACUGAACUUUUUAUAAUUUUUUAUCACGCCUGCAAAUUUAACAGUUUUGUAUUAAUAUUGAUAGCACAUAAUAUAUAGGAUUAAGAGAGAUUGGUUUCGAGUUGCUACAAGCAUUUUGGGAUUGCAUGCACAAGGGUUUAUAAACAAAGGGUGCAAUUAAUUACCCCAAACGAGGGUGCAUUUUUAUGAUGAAAUAAAAACUACGUGCGGGGUUGUAAAAGUGGCUCCAUAAUUAAUGUACAUUAACAUUCAUCUAGCUAUCACCUCCGAAAAUGAUACAGCAUAAGCCGAGCAUUUUUCCAAUUGUGUUGUAGAUAAUAGUUCAAUCCCAAUUUCAUCAACUUGUUUUGAGAAAGGAGGCUUCUUGGGAGUAUUAAUAUUUGUGGUUCCAUUCUUGAGCAUUGAGGAAACUUCCAGCAUUGAAGGUCGGUCGUUUGGAUUCUCCUGGACACACAACAAAGCUAUUUCCAGACAUCUCAUUAAUUUACAAGGGGAAUUUGUAUUGUCUAGGAAUGAAUCCACAAACUCCACGCCUUUGCCACCUUUCCACAACUGAUAUGCCUGAAAUUAUCAAGUACCAUCUCGUUACAUAAUUUAUACUUCUUAAUUAAGUGCGCAUAUGUGUACUCAGGGUUACUAUAGCCGAAGAAACUUACGUGCUCUAGAAUGCUUAAAUUUUCAUUGAUGCCACAUAACACUGAAAGCCUCUUUCCACUUAUGAUUUGUAGAAGUAAAACUCCGAAACUAAAAACGUCUGAUUUGGUAGAGUAUACACCUUGUCUGGCGUACUCAGGAGGAAUAUAGCCUCUGCAUUCAAAAUAACCAAGUAUAUAUGAGUAAGGGAUUUUGCAAUUUAAUAAAUUUGUAAAACCCAUUUUAAAUUGUGGUAAAAGUCCAUUCCGCAUUUUAUUAAAGUGCUGAAUUCCUUAUUCGAAACCCAAUAUAUGUAUAACAAACAGAAGCUUGAGUAAAGGAUAUCAUUUAGUUGUGAUAUACUUACAUUGUUCCCACAACUUGUUCUGAUUCGCGUCGAGACUCUCUUUUGCAAAAAUUCUAGCCAUACCAAAAUUUGAAAUUUUAGGUUUCAUAUCUUGACCUAACAAAACAUUACUGGCUUUCAAGUCUCGAUGAAUAAUAGUCAGUCUUGAGUAUUCUUGGAGGUAUAAAAGUCCUUGAGUUAUCCCUUCAAUGAUAUGAACAUGUUUUUUCCAAUCCAAAAGAAGUCUUCUGAUGGGAUCUACAACAAAUAUAUAGUUUUGGACAAUAAGUGAUAUACAAGCGAAUUAUAUACACAAUUGAUAUUAACUUGAUUUCAGAACAAACCAAAAAGGUAGCAAUCCAAGCUUUUGUUUGGCAUGUAUUCGUAGACCAGCAUCCGUUCCUCACUGUCAAUGCAAAAACCUAAAACUCUAAUAAGAUUUACAUGUUGGAGUUUUGCAGUAAGAAUAACCUCAUUCUUAAACUCCUCAAAUCCCUGUGCGGAUGAUUUCGAAAGUUUCUUCACUGCUAUCACCACUCCACAGGGUAAUACACCCUGCAACCCAAAAAAAAACCACGUUCAUAUAAAGCUUUCACUAAUUAGAGACGCUGAGAAAUGUUAGCCAAACAAUAUGCUACCCCCCAAAGUUGAGGGCACCAUUUUAAGUCCUUUAGUCCCCAUGGACGCAAAAUGUAAAUCUCCUCUCACAGAAUAUGGAUAUGGGUAGAGGUAUCUUCCUCAAAUGUUAGUCAAAGUAGUUAUAUCCCUCUAGUGUGAGGUUAAAGGUCUCAUCUCUAAUAGGCAUAGAGUUUUAAAUUAUAUGUUUUGGGCCUCUGAAUUCUACGACGAGUGUACAAAUUCAAACUUCCGAUAGGAUCCAAAUUGCAACAUUGUGGAUUGUAACAAAUUAAAAUAUAGGUACACACACACACACACAUGUUACCUUGUAAACAGGACCAUAUCCACCCUCCCCAAGGUUAUUUCUAAUUGAAAAUCCCUCGGUGGCCGCCUCAAUAUCAGCCAAACUAUAUACUCUGAGAUUAGGAACAUUUCUGUUAAAGUCUCCAGCUUCUGUUUCAUUAUUUUCUCUCGUGUUUGAUGCUUUAGCAGAAUCCUCUGUUCCUAACAUCAACCAAGAGUAAAUAUUAGAUAAUUAAUUGUAUGUCAGCCUAAGUUUUAUAUAUAUAUGAAAUGCAUGCUUAAUUAUAAUUGGUAGCUGAAGCUUGUUACCUUCUAUUAACUUGAGCCUUUUCAUCUGGUUGUAUUUAUAUGCACAACAACUUAGAAGGAGAGUCAAAGCUGCCGCUGCAGUCGAAAUGAGUACCAAGGACAGAUGGCGGUUAUUACUAUGUUCAUCUUUGUCAGCUGAAGCAGAAGUAAUCCUGUCUUUUUGUGCUGGAAAUAUGUAUAGUUCAGCAAUUAAUAAUAACUAGCUAGAGAUGCCAUAACAAUCAUUAUUAAUCAGAGAGAACAAUUAUUGCAUAGAUAAAUACCUGCAGCUUGAGAAAGUACCCAAUUAUGAUCGUCAUAAUCAACUCGCCAAACAUAGUAACCAAGAAAUCUCUUCUCUUUGGCAUAGGCGAUCUUAGCUCUAACAGCCUCCACAUCAUCAAAACCAAACCAAAUCGUCCCAGUGGAGAAGUAAUUCACCACAUAAGUUGAAUUGUACAUAACUUGAACAUUAGGACCAUAGGUCUUGAUGUGAUUCUUGAUAUCCCUAUAGGUCACAAGGCCACCAUUACUCAUAGCUGGUCCUGCUGCUGCUACUCCAAUACCAUUGUCUUCAGGUUUCACAAGCGUCCAUGCAUAGCCGUAGAAAGGCAAACACAAAACCAACUUAUCAGCCAAUAACCCUCUCUAAAUCCAUGCCCUUAAAACCUGAUCAGUACUGUCAAAGAAGCUCAUAAUGCAUGGAAGGAUGCAGCACACGUGUGAGAUGAAUAUAGUCAGCUGAAUCAAUUGAAGAGUGGAGUGCCAGCUCAGCUGAAGUUAGUUAGACACGUUAAGAUCAAGUUUUAGUUAGUUCUUCAUUUUCUGUUAAGCUGAAAAACAGCUGAGUAUAAAUACAAGCAUAUUGUAAUCAUUUUGAGGUUAAGUAAAAAUAAAAUAAAGCAUUUGAUUCCAGAAUUUCUUUUACAAAUUUUCUUAGCACUUUAGAUACAUUUUCUCAGUAACCAAACAGUUUGUUCAUUCAAGCUUUUAAGCUUUCAAACAUGGUAUCAGAGCCUUACAGAGCUAGUUCCAGUAAUCAACAGUCAAGCCUUCGUAAUCAAACAACAAACAACACAAAUCAACCUACUCAAAUCAACUUCUCUUUUUCUAAUCCUAUCAAGCUAGAUCGAUCCAAUUACUUACUCUGGCGUUCUCAAGUUUUGGCCUCAAUAAGAGGCAAUCGUUUGGAAGAUUUCGUCACAAGAGCCAGAUCAGUACCUGAUAAGUGUCUUCUGUUAACUGAAGCAGAUGGAUCUACACAACAAGUUGAAAAUCCAGAAUAUCAGAUCUGGAGAUCACAGGAUCAGACACUUCUUGGCUGGCUACUGUUGUCAUUAAGUGAAGGUAUCUUAAGUCUUGUAAUCAAUUGUGAGAGUUCAUUUGAUAUAUGGAAAACUUUGGAAAAGAAAUUUGGAGUUCAAUCUGAAGCUCGAGUUCUUCAGCUCAGAUACGAACUAAACACUCUUAAAAAGGAAGCCCUUAGUGUUGAAGAUUAUUGUAUUAAAAUGAAAGCAAUAGCAGAUAAGCUGGCCAGUGCUGGUAGUUCAAUUACAGAGAAGGAUCUUAUGCUAACUAUUCUUAAUGGAUUAGGAUCAUGAUAUCGUGAUAUUGCUACAUUUAUAACUGGUUCACGAAUGGAGUUUGAUGAUGCUUAUGCACUGUUACUCACUCAUGAGACUAGAUUAGAGCAGGAGCAAGGUGACAAAAGUAUGUUUAAUGCAAACUAUGCAUACACAAAUGCAUAUUAUCCUAGAGCUUAUUUUGCACAGCCUAGAAGAAGUUUUAAACGAGGAGGUUAUUCUGGUGGUAGAACUCCUUUCUUUGGCAGAGGAAAUAUGAAUUACUCUCCAAGAAUGUUUAAUGGAGGCUUUAGAAAUGGAUAUGGCAGAGGAUUUUUUCCUGGAAAUAACUCAACUGAUUUCAAUCAUUUUCCAGCUCCUAGGAAUCCAGUACCUAGGAACUCAUCUUUUCCAGCUAGAAAUGGAUCUGCUAACAUGAGUGGAUCACAAGGAAGUUUUAAUAAUGCUGGAGAGAUGACAUGUCAGAUUUGUUUUAAGAAUGGCCAUACUGCUGAUGUCUGUUGGCACAGAUUUGUUGAAGAUUUUGUACCUGUUCCAAGAGGUUUUGGCAAGGGAAGAACACCAAGAGCAGCAUAUUUAUCAAACUUUGAUGGCUCCAUUUCUAAUCCAGAUUUUGGCUAUGAAAAUCUUAAUACUAUGUUUCCAGGUUAUGACUCUAUAUCUGGCAAUAGCUACUAUUCUGGAAUGGAUGGAUACACUUCUGGAGCAGCUAGAACAGCUUUCAUGGCAAAUUUUGAAGGGACUGCUGAUGAUGGAUGGUAUCUGGAUAGUGGGGCAACUCACCAUUUAACCAACAAUAUGGAGAAUUUGCAGAUCAAUGAAGAGUUUAAAGGUACUGAUUAGCUUAUCAUUGGAAAUGGUCAAGGUUUGUCUAUUACUCAUGUUGGACAUGCAUUUCUGGUAUUAAGAGCUUCUAAACCCUUAUCUACACAUGCUAGAAUAAAACUUAAAGAUAUGUUACUUGUCCCUUCAAUUACCAAAAAUCUAUUAAGUAUUUCUAAACUCACAUCUGAUAACCCUUUAUCUGUUGAAUUCUGUGGAAAUGCUUGUUUUGUGAAGGACAUGAAGGGUCAAGUUCUUCUGCAGGGUAUUGCUGAAAAAGGCCUUUACAAGCUGCUGCUGAACUCAAAUUCUCUUUCUUCAUCACCUACAUCUUAUCUUUGUAAAUCCCAGCCAAAUAAACUAGUCUCUAUGUUGUCUGCUUUCAAACACUCUGAUAAUGGUACUCGAGCUUGUUUUCAGUUUGUUUUAAAUAAGUGUAAUGCCAAACCUAAUGUAAUAACUUUGUUACAUAGAAAGUUUGGUCAUCCAAGCUCAAUGACAUUGAUGCAUUUGCUCAAAUCAUGUAAACAGUUUAAAGUCUCUCCAAAAGACAUGUUAUCUUCUGCAAGUACUUUAUGUGAAGCAUGUCAGCUAGGCAAAGUCCAUAAGCAACAUUUCUCAAUAACCGAAACAAAAACAAAAGAGGUAUUAGAAUUGAUCCAUACUGAUCUUUGGGGGCCUUCACCCACUGUGUCUAGAGAUGGAUACAAAUAUUACAUUAGUUUUGUGGAUGAUUACACUAGGUACUCUUGGAUCUAUCCUCUUAAGCUCAAAUCACAAGCAUUUGAAGUUUUCAAAUUGUGCAAAACUCAAGUUGAAAAUCAGUUUGAUACCAAAAUUAAGAUGCUACAAUCUGACCUUAGGGGAGAGUUUAGAGCAUUUACUGAUUUUCUCAAUCAAAAUGGAAUAAUCUUUAGGCACUCAUGUCCUUACAUCCAUCACCAGAAUGGUCUUGUUGAGAGGAAGCACAGGCAUAUAGUUGAACUAGGAUUAACCCUCAUGGCUCAAGCAAAUCUUCCUCUUCAAUUCUGGUGGGAAGCUGUUCAUACAGCAGUGUAUCAUAUUAAUAGAUUGCCUACCCCUGUUCUGAAAUUCUUAUCUCCUUAUGAGAAACUUUUCAAACACAAACCAGAUUACACAUUUCUAAAGUGUUUUGGUUGUCUUUGUUAUCCAUACUUGAGAGACUUUAACAAACAUAAGUUUGAUUUUCACACUUCUAAAUGCAUUUUUAUUAGAUACAAUCCCUCUUAUAAAGGAUACAAAUGCUUAGCAAGUUUUGGUAAAGUCUAUGUUCUUAGACAUGUCAUUUUUUAUGAAACACAUUCCCUUAUCCAAUAAACAUUGCAUUCUCAACAGAAAAUCACAUAUCUUCUAAAACCUCAGUGUCUAAUUUCUCUCAGCAACAUAUCUAUCAUCUUUCUACAAUAGCCUUACUCAACAGCAGCUUUGAAGGUCUUCAGUCAGCAAGCUCAGCAAGAAAUGAACAAAUGCCCUUUGGUCCCACACAUACAGAUGUUUUGAAUCAACAAGAACAUCCAUCACACACAUCCUUAGAGUUAUCAUCCUCAACCUCACCAUCACCAAACACAUUACUAAUGCAAUCAUCCAUUCUACAACCAGAGGAAACUUCUUCACAGAAUAUAGACCAAAUUCAAACCAGAAAUCAUUCCCAACCAUCUUCUCAUCCAAUGAUUACCAGAUCGAAAUCUGGAAUCUUCAAACCAAAGGUCUAUACAGUCACCUUAGCCAACAAAGAACCCAGUACAGUUCAAGAAGCUCUUAGUAGUCAGAAUUGGCAUCAAGCCAUGGUAGAUGAGUAUGAAGCUUUGAUGAAGAAUAAGACUUGGUCACUGGUACCAUUUUCAAAUGCAUACAAAGUAGUUGACAACAAAUGGGUGUUUAGACUCAAGCAAAAUACUGAUGGAAGCAUAGCCAAACACAAGGCCAGAUUGGUUGCCAAAGGUUUUCAGCAAACUGAAGGUGUGGAUUACUUUGAGACAUUUAGCCCAGUUGUAAAAGCUUCAACAGUGAGGAUUGUUUUGAGUUUAGCUGUGAUGCAUAAAUGGAAAAUAAGGCAAGUGGAUGUGAAUAAUGCCUUUUUGAAUGGAGAAUUGACAGAGGAUGUCUAUAUGUAUCAGCCUGAAGGUUUUAUUGAUCAACAAAAACCUAAUCAUGUAUGCAAGCUGAAGAAGGCCUUGUAUGGCUUAAAGCAAGCUCCUAGAGCUUGGUAUGACAAGCUUAAGAAUUGUCUGAUUGCUAAUUGGAAAUUUCAGAAUUCAAAGGCUGAUACCUCUCUUUUCUUCAAAGAAGUGCAGGGCUCAAUGAUACUCAUCUUAAUCUAUGUAGAUGACAUUCUAAUGACAGGACCUGACAAUGGUGAACUGGAGAAAUUCAUCUCAAAAUUCAGUAAGACUUUUGCUUUAAAAGACUUGGGAAUUCUGUCAUAUUUUCUAGGAAUAGAAGUGUCCUAUGCUGAAGAUUGCAUCUAUCUAUCUCAGAAGAAAUAUAUCUUGGAUUUGUUAUCCAAAGCUAAUAUGCAAAAUUGUAAAGGCUGUGACACUCCCAUAGUUACUGGAUCAAAGCUUCAGAAAGAAGUCACAGGCUGUUUGGGUCAAUAUAUUGAGGAUGCAACAAGCUAUAGAAGCUUAGUUGGAGGUUUACAAUAUCUAGUAUUAACCAUACCAGAGAUAGCAUUUGCUGUGCAUAAGUUGAGCCAGUAUGUGACAGCUCCAACACUCCAGCAUGUUAUGGCUUGUAAAAGAGUUCUUAGAUACCUCAAGGAGACUGCAGAUUAUGGUUUGAAGUUUUCAGCAGGUGGGGAAAUGAAGAUCACAGGAUUUACAGAUGCAGAUUGGGCAUGUGAUGUUGAUGACAGAAAAUCAAUAGGAGCCUAUUGCAUUUAUUUUGGAAGCAAUCUAAUUUCCUGGUCAUCCAAGAAGCAGGCUGUGGUUACACGAUCCAGUGCAGAGAGUGAAUAUCGUGCUCUUGCUUCUGCAAGUGCAGAGAUAACAUGGAUCCAGUCGUUAUUCAAUGAACUUAGCAUUAAGUGUACUUCAUUACCAACUAUCUGGUGUGACAAUAUAAGUGCAACAGAGUUGGCCAAGAAUCCAGUUUAUCAUUCAAGGACUAAACACAUUGAACUGGAUAUGCACUUUAUUAGAGACAAGGUUUUGGCAAAGGAGUUAGAGAUUAACUAUAUUCCCAGCGAGGAGCAAAUUGCUGAUGCUUUGACAAAGCCUCUGACAUUUAUUCAUUUCAACUAUUUCAGAGCCAAACUCAAUGUGCAACCAUGCCCCUUGAGUUUGAGGGGGACUGUCAAGGAAGCUCAUAAUGCAUGGAAGGAUGCAGCACACGUGUGAGAUGAAUAUAGUCAGCUGAAUCAAUUGAAGAGUGGAGUGCCAGCUCAGCUGAAGUUAGUUAGACACGUUAAGAUCAAGUUUUAGUUAGUUCUUCAUUUUCUGUUAAGCUGAAAAACAGCUGAGUAUAAAUACAAGCAUAUUGUAAUCAUUUUGAAGUUAAGUAAAAAUAAAAUAAAGCAUUUGAUUCCAGAAGUUCUUUUACAAAUUUUCUUAGCACUUUAGAUACAUUUUCUCAGUAACCAAACAGUCUGUUCAUUCAAGCUUUUAAGCUUUCAAACAAGUACUUCUAGCAUAGCCGCCGCUACUUGAGCCAUACAGAGCCGCAUGUGCCUCGGUGAAGUUUGUUGACAUAGGCUCGUAGUAUUCAGCUGUAACAACAUGAACCUAAUUCAAGUUUCGUUGCAUCGAUUUCAAAAGGUACGAAUUGUCUGGUGGUAAAUAACGAAAUCUUGCGGUCAGGAUCAGCUGGGAUUGCUGGCGGCCAGAGUUUUUUGCCUCUAAUUGUGUAGCAGCUCGGCACUCGUCAAAGAAUAAACCCGUAUUGGACAUAUCGGUGCUCGUGUUCGGAGCUUUCCAAGCAAAGUCUAGGCCCUGAAAGCCAUAAAGCCUAGCUAUUCUUAUUGAAGAGUCGAUGAAAGAUUUCCUGUGAGAAGAAUUUCUCACCAUUGAAGAAUAUAUAGAAUAGUUUGUAUAUCUUCCUUGUCUAAUGGAGAGAAGUGUAGUGGUUGAUGGGUUCUUUUGUUUCACAGUGCCUGUAAAUUUGGGGAAUAUUUGAUUUCCAUCAAACGGUGAUGAUAAAGAUAGCUGGUAAGUGGUGGAAUUGAUAUCAGCGUAAGAGCAGAUAAGGUGAGUGAAGAGAUCAUAAUUUAUGCCCGAAAUGGUGGACACUUCGCUUGGAUCCAAGUAGCCGACCCUGAUCCACGGUUUUGCUUUCGCGGGAUGAAAUUCUGAAUAGAACAACAUGUGGAAGAUGAUGCUGAUAAUUAUGGAUGCCAUUUGAGAGGCUUAUGCUUCUUAAUUACCACUUCGAUGGGAAUGGAAAUGAAUGCACACUAAUAGAAAUUAAAUAAACACAAGUUUCACAGUUCAUUAAGCUCUCAUGUGUACUAUUAACGUAUAGGUUCAUUUCGUUGCCCAAAAAAAUCUUAUGUGCUCCUGAUAGGGACACAUACAUUGGAUGAUAAGAUGAUGAUAGGCGAUGCGACCAUUGCCCAAGAACUAAGAUUUUCUUCUAUCGCGUGGGUGACUUUUCAUGAAGAAAAAUGAUGUUUUGAUUGACAUAUGGUUAAACCGAUGCCAUAUUUCGGGCUACAAAUAUCAGUAUUGUUUUAUUAAAUAAUUAAAAAAAUUAAUUUUACGUGCAUGUUGAAGGUAAUAUUGCAGUCUUUUGAGCCUGUGUUGAAUUUCAUUCGUGUGCGUUCAUUUAUUAUCUAUCCUCUUUUUUCUCUGUGUGUCUGCUAGCUCUAGUCAUCUUAAAAGAAUAACAUGUUUAAUUAAUGCAUGUAAAUGCACCGCAAAAGUAGUUAAGAAAGACUUGAUCAAAGAUCAGACAUUUUCUCUCUACUCAAAAAGUAGUUAUUGGACUAAUUAAGAUUCUAAUCCCUUUAAGAAAUAUUGAAAAAGGGUUACUGUCACUACUUCAGUCCUUGUUGUUACAUAUAUAUAUAUAUAUAUAUAUAUAUAUAAAUUUAAAGAAGCAUCACAUAAAUCCUUCCUAAUUAUAUUUUGUUUCAUUCAAGUUGUUGACUUAAUUUGUCUGCUUGGAAAAAUUAGUAAAAAGGUAAAAAUAAAAAAAUGUAAAUUCUACUUAUUAGACUAAAUAUAUAGUAUAAAUUUGCAGCAACCAGCAAAAGUUUGGAAUAUGAAAAAUCCUAUUAAUUUUUAAAAAAUCUCCGAAAGUUUGAAAACUAAUAUUUUAAGGUCCUUUUACAAUAACCAUAAUUAACAUGAAUUUACUAAAUUAGGCAAACCCGAAUUACUACCAUAUAAUAAAAUUUUAUAACAGAAAUAAGAAAACAAAACAAAUAGCAUCAAAUCUUAUAUCUAAAAAAAAAUCUUGAAAUAAAUAGAAAAAAUAAGAAAAUAACUAAAACUUGCAAAAUGACCAUGAAAGAAAUGAAAUUUCCGACUGAACCAAAGGGCCAAUACACAUAGCAUUAUUGGACUAGAUCUAUCAUGGUGCAAACUUCAAAACAGUAUAUUAUAUUUUCUAAAUGGACACAUAUAGGUUAAGUUAUGAUAUUAAAAAAUAUCCUAUUCAUCUUACACAACCAUUCUAUGUCACUAUAUCUAUACACUAAUAAUAUAACCCAAACAUUUAUGGAGCAUAACUCACAGACCUCCACUAAUUACACUAAAGUUUACUCUCAUUUUAUAAGAGAGAGAAAUGUUCUCGUUCUCCAUUUAUGGGGGAUUAAACCAAAUGGUCUGUUUUUGAUUUUCUGGUAAGUUGUGUAACGUUGGAGCUUUUUGGCACUUCUUUGACGAAAAGUCGUUCUCUUCGACAACCCAAAAUUCGGGCCAAUGGGCAAUUAUGAAAGUCCAUUGGAUGCAUUGGACCAAACUAAAAGUCCAUAUAUAUAUGUAUAUAUAUAUAUAUAUUCAAUAAAUGAAAUGAAAAAAUGCAAUUGGCUUGCAGUUGCAAAGCUUCUUUGUUUAUUAUUAUAUAAUAUAAUAUAAUAUAAUUUUAUAUCAUUUUGAAUAUCAAAAUUUUAUUUCAAAAUUUAUUUAACACUAGUGUUUAAUAUAAGAUACAAUACUACCAAAAUUCUAUUCAAUAGUUUAUUUAAAAUAGUAUUGACUAUUAAAAAUAAGAAUUUACACUAAUAUUAAAUAUUAAAUUCAACAAUUAGUAACAUUAUUUAAAAUAAUUAUAGUAUUUAAAUGGUUAUUUAUCUUUAUUAAAUAAGAUUUAACAUAAUCCUCUGCGACAUUUUACUAAAUAAAUACAGUACUAUAUAUAAUCCAAUCUAAUCUUAAACAAUAAUCUAUUCUAUUCCUACCUUCCAAAUAUAAACACAAUAGAUAAUGAGAGCAUGAGCUAUGAGAUUAUAAAUCAUGGAUCAAGGGAGUAGAGAUACAGACCUUGAGAUCAUAGAUCGUAGACUAUUAGAGACUAAAGACCGUGGACAAAUCCGAGUACAUUAAAAAAAGGGGAAUUUUAGUCAAAUGUAGAUUGAUAUUAAGGAAUUCAGCAAGCAAGCUACAAGAAUAUCCAAAAGCGUGUAAUUUAUGUUUAAGGAAACAAGUGGAGAUAGAGAUGAAAUUGUAAAUUCAUCCCAAUCUUAAGUGGCUUAAUUCAAGAUGUAUGUUACCUACAAGCACAAUAAUAUGUACACGUUAUGUAUACAUGCAUCACAUACGUGCGUCGAUCAUCGAUGUAAAAGUAACAGUAAAUUUCUAGUAAAACAAACAUCAUUACUUUUAGUAUAAGAUGUAAAAAAUAUCAAUUAAUAACCAUUAGAAAAUAAAAAUUUAUGUAAUUGAUGCAGAUAAAUGGAAUCAAGUAGUAACAUUUCCUUCUCAUUGAAGAGAAAAGAUUAAAAAAAAGAAAAGGGGGGGGGGGGGGGGGGGGGAGGAGCGCAAACAUGACAAUUAUUUUUAUCCGCACGUGCCAUGAUAAUCGAUAAUCCGAUAUACCAACCGCGUCUAAUUGUCUGAAUUCUCAAGCUUAUCAAGCUUGCUCAAUCGCACCGCAGACACUGACCAUGGGAGAUUAAUCACCACUCGCAGUAUUAGGCGCGUGAAGGACACAUUCGCCAAUAAUUUAUAGCGGACAGUAGCAUUCCCGAUGCUGCGCGGAGAAAAAUAGUUGGGCUUGCGAAAGUUAAAUUGACUUGACUCGACAGAGUGAAGAAUGGUGGUGGUUGCUGUUAAGCAGUCGGUACUUCUGGCGACUGCUUGGCUUACACGCAGUUCCCGGGGGUGUCAUUUGACUGUGAAAGAGAAUUUUGGCUUUAUUGAUAUCUUGUUGGAUUUGGAAUUUUGGAUGGCUUCGUGUAGACCAUAAGACACGAUAUCGUUCAUAACACGUUAGCAUUCUUUCUCACGGGAGAAAAACUCGGGUGGGAGCAGAUGUACCAUCUCAACUGCCGUUUAUAAAUGGCUGUCAAAUAAUUAAUCAAAAUUUUAUUAUUUACGGUUAUAAUUGGAAUGAUAAAAAAUCAAUUCGAUGUUAUUCUUUGUGGCUCUGCUUAGAAUACUAAAAAAUCAAAUCGACUUAUUUAUUUUUAUAUUGAUCAUUACAAGUCUCUUGAAUUUUUUACCUACUUCAUUAACUUGUUAUUUUGAGUUGUACGUAACAUGGCUUUUUUUGUUUUUUACUUUACUUUGGUUUUCUUUAUAACCCAUAAAAAUUUUCUUGUUAAGACUGUGUGAACCAAUUGAAACUUCAGAUUCAUACUAGAACUAUGAUGAUUUGAUAAGAGCUUCAAAUUAAAUCCACAGAUUCUAUGAAAAGAAAAGAAAAGAAAAAGUCUUUUAUUGGUAAAAGAAGAAAGCUCUUCGGCACUGAUCCGAAGAAAAAUCAUUCUCCAUACAAUGAGCAAAACAAAGUCCAAUUCGCAUUACAUAGAAGUAAAACCGAAGCAUUGGACUAAAAGCAUACAUUAGUCUUAUUUUUCGUUACUGAUAACAUUUUUUUUCCCUUAUAUUAUCACCUUAAUUAAGAAAAAUAAUAAUUUGUUUAACUAAUUACAAAAAAGGAUGGCUAUAUACAAUAUUCUUGUGUUGGAUGGCCUUAAAAGUCAAUUCUUUUGAAACAGGAAAACUGGUAUCGUUUUUCAAAACACAAAAAUAUUAUGUUAAGAAAAUGAAUGGUCUUUAAGAGUUAUGACAAUGAUAUCAAUAAAAUUACAAAAUCUUAAGAGUUUAUAGAUGUAGUUAGUGAUAUUACAUUACAUUAAUUAAUACAAUGCAAAUUGUUUACUAAUAGAGCCUCAGGAGAGUGAUUCAUUAUUUAGUUGGCCAAUUAAACAACUGCAGCAGUCACUAGCAGCUUGCCAAGAGCUAGCAUAGAUCAAUUGUUCAUCUACCAACCAAUUUUGAAAUUGUUACAUCAUUACUUGAACAUAUUUCCAAUCCAAUCGUGGCUUUGUUUUGUUCAUCUUCAUAAGCUUUGUUUGAGAAACUUGCAGGCUUCUUUGGAGUCAUUAUAUCAGCUGUAUUUUCAUUUUCGAUCAACGAAGAAAUUUCUAGUAUAGAAGGUCUAUUGUUUGGGUUCUCCUGAACACAUAGCAAAGCUACUUGCAGACAUGUCAAUAAUUUCCAUGAGGAAUGCGUAUCAUCUAGUGAUGGAUCCAUUAACUCCGUGCCUUUCCCAUCCUUCCACAACUCGUAUGCCUGAAAACAUCAAAUAUGUUAUUGACUAACAUUCAAUUAAUUAGCACUGUAAUGUUUUGAUUCAGUGAAUAUUAAAAAGGGGGUUAUGAAGAAACUUACAUACUCUACAAGGCUUAGAUUUUCAUUUUGACCAUAUCGAAUGAAAAGUCUUCGCCCACUUAUAAUUUGCAGAAGCAAAACCCCAAAACUGUAGACAUCAGAUUUAGUGGAGUAGAUGCCUCUUCCGACAUAUUCAGGAGGGAUAUAGCCUCUGUAGUAUCAAGUAAUUAUAAAUGUCAGUGUUUGACAUAAAAGAUUAAGUUGAUUGGUAAAGGUUCAACAAUAAUAUUAAAGGCAUGUCAGACAAUAAUAGACAAAUAUACACUUACUGUGUUCCAACAAUUCGAUUUGUGUUUGCUUCAAGAUCAUCUUUCACAAAAAUUCUAGCCAAGCCAAAAUAUGAUAUUUUAGGUGUCAAAUCUUCAUCCAACAAAAUAUUACUAACUUUUAAGUCUCGAUGAAUAAUUGUUAAUCUAGAAUAUUCUUGGAGAUAGAGAAGCCCCUGAAUAAUUCCUUAAAUGAUAUAAAUACGUUUUUUCAAAUCCAAAAUAAGCCUUCGGAUGGGAUCUGCAUCAAAU
rnacentral:lncRNA from 1 species